AGUACCGUGAGGGAAAGGUGAAAAGCACCCCGAUGAGGGGAGUGAAACAGUACCUGAAACGGAUUGCCUACAAGCAGUUGGAGCCCCCUUGAGGGGUGACAGCGUACCUCUUGCAUAAUGGGUCAGUGACUUAAUUGUAUCAAGCAAGCUUAAGCCCUUUAGGUGUAGGCGCAGCGAAAAGCGAGUUCUGAAUAGGGGCGAUUUUAGUUUGAUGUAUUAGACCCCGAACCCCCGGCGAUCUAGGCAUGACCAGGANUGAAGGUGCGGUAACCACGCACUGGAGGUCCGANCCGAUUAACGUUGAAAAGUUNCCGGAUGAGUUGUGUUUAGGGGUGAAAGGCCAAUCAAGCCGGGAAAUAGCUGGUUCUCCGCGAAAACUAUUGAGGUAGUGCCUCGAGUAUUACUGUGGGGGGUAGAGCACUGGAUGGGCUAGGGGGUCGCGAGAUCUACCAAACCUAACCAAACUCCGAAUACCCACAAGUACAGCUCGGGAGACAGACGGCGGGUGCUAAGGUCCGUCGUCAAAAGGGAAACAGCCCCAACCUACNGCUAAGGUCCCCAAGUCAUCACUAAGUGGGAAAGCAUGUGGGACUUCCAAAACAACCAGGAGGUUGGCUUAGAAGCAGCCAU
rnacentral:rRNA from 1 species